rnacentral:rRNA from 1 species
UACGUAGGGUGCGAGCGUUGUCCGGAAUUACUGGGCGUAAAGAGCUCGUAGGUGGUUUGUCGCGUUGUUCGUGAAAACUCACAGCUCAACUGUGGGCGUGCGGGCGAUACGGGCAGACUAGAGUACUGCAGGGGAGACUGGAAUUCCUGGUGUAGCGGUGGAAUGCGCAGAUAUCAGGAGGAACACCGGUGGCGAAGGCGGGUCACUGGGCAGUUACUGACACUGAGGCACGAAGGCCAGGGGAGCAAACGGG